GGCCUCGUAGCUCAGUUGGCUAGAGCGUUGGGUGUACUAAAGCCUUCACCUGGCUAGCAUGAGUUCGAAUCCCACCGAGGCCA
rnacentral:tRNA from 1 species